AAAACCUGGACCUUUGGAAGGCAGAAUUGCUCCAUGAUCUGCCAUCCAGACGGCAAUGCCGAACCAACUUGAGAAUUCGAGCACCAGGUGGAUCUCCUUUCCCUCCUGGUCUGCGCCAAACUUCUGGCAUGACAAUACUAGUUAGUCAGCAAUCUUUUUUCGUUGUUUUAUAGCUUUCAUCUUCAAUGCAUUUUCCUCGAACAUGAUCAUAACGCUCUGCAGAUGAUCUGGAACCAGCAAGAAAGAAUCAAGGUUCUGACAGAAUUCAGUUUGGAUAUAAUGUGGUAUUGUUAGGCAGGAACAUUUGGUGAACAUUUAGUAUUUGUAUAAAAAGGAGUUUGUGGGGUUGCACAUCUUCUUUUAGUAAAGUGGUAUUUUGUCUAUUCAAUGUUCUGGAACUAAAGAGUUUGUACUAAAGUAAUAUCCAUGUGGAAUAAAUAGAAACAACUAUUGUACUAUACAUGUGGAAAAGAAAA
rnacentral:lncRNA from 1 species